rnacentral:lncRNA from 1 species
AGGUUUUAUGAUUACCUUCAAAGCGAACAUUCCAAAUAGUGAGGAUCCUUUAAGGGCACGGUCGACAGAAGGUGACACAUCAGAAGGUGUGUUGCUGAUGAACAAUCCAUAUAAGCCCAUACCAAAUAUCAACAUGACAGUGCCUGCAAGAUAAACAUCUGCCGGAGCAAGAUUCGUUCAUUUUAUUGUCAUAAAAAAGGCUAAAUGGAAGUAGUAAGUUAAAUCUUUCAGAAAUUUGGACAAAAAUUGAAGUAAAGUUUAAACUUCCAAAUGAAAACAGAAAAAUAAUUUUUUUAUUUUCAUGUUCUCGAUUUGGAAAAAUGCAGGUUAGAUAUAUGAUUUAGAGUGUUCUUUCUCGCAAUGACGGGGAGUAAUCUUCUUACCAAUUGCUUCAACCAGGCGCAAAACCAUCUUUCCGGUGUGAACUCCUUUGACACAGCUUGACCAAUAGACUUUAUAUGCAUCAACAAUAUAAACACAACCCUAAAAUGAUCCAAGGAUAUUUAAAUUGUCAAAUAUAUGAAUGUUAAUUCAUGAUAUCAUAAGCACUUAUAGAAUAAACACUUAUCAUAUAAAUGAAUAUGUAUAAGCUAUUUUUAUAACAAAAGAUAAAAUAAAGUUAAGGCUAUUUUCAUAUAAAUUAUAAGUUGUUUUCAUAUGUUUUUUCAAACAGUCUAAAAUGUGCUUAUGCCAGUAUAUAAUCAUGUGAUCCAAACAAGCCCUUGAUCUUUCUAUGGACACAUAAAAACAACAGUAUUGCACCUUGCUGAGAUUUUAUUAAACGUGUCGAGAAACUAUACAUUUAGAAAGCAGAGGAGUGAGCCAGCCAAAGAACCUCCAACAGCAAGGAGUGCAAAGAAACGGAAGUCGAAAAUAAUCUGAUCAACACAACCAUAAAGCUUUUAAUUAGUAGAUCAUUUUGUUCAGAAUAAUGAAGAUAAAAAAAAUUAGUUCAAAUCAUAAAAGGAUAAGCAUAAUUAUUUAUUUAAAACACUUUAAUCAAUUAAUUUUAAUGGAAAUAUGUUUUUAGCACUAUAGUAGCUUUUGCUUUGAUCUUCCAUAUAGUUCUAUUCAAGAAAGUUAUGUCCUUAAAUGAGCUUCACAAGUUAAAGUUCUUUUUACUAAUCCUAAUUAUUAUUAUUUUUUGGCACAUUUAACCAAAUUACUAAGAUUUCUGUUCAGAUAAUUACAUUCAAUUUAAAUAAAGGACUCAUUUGGAUUAGCUUAUUUUUGAGCUUAUGCAUACAGUCUAUACAAUUUUUAUGUAUUAUUAUAAGUUUGUGAAGGUAGUUUAUGAUAAAAUAGUUUAUAAAAAUACAAUUUUUACUAGUGUGAACUUAUCAAAUAACAUAAAACCUAAUUUAUAUUGCAUAAGCUCAAAAAUAAGCUAAUCCAAACAGGGCCAAAAUCUAAACAUCAAGACAUAAAGGAGCUAAGUGUGGCAUAUUUCAGUAAACUCAUUCUGCAUCUGCUUAUAGAUUUGCACAUAGCACUUCACAGUUUCUCCAAAGGUCUACAGUACAUGAAGUACUGAAUUAAAUCUAUUCCUCUCUUAUUAGUUUAAUAUUCCUUGUUUAAAAAUUUUGAAAUUUUAUAUUCCAAGAGAAUAUAUAUUAAAUAGUCAAUAUGUGACCACAUUAUCCACAAUGGCAGGUACCCUUUAUUCAUCAGUAACUUUGGUAUUAAUAAAUUGAACAGCAAGAAACAAAAUGUUUUUUUAAGUAAACCAAAUUAUCUUCCGCACACAGCUGCGAGGACUAAUCCCUUGAGCUAAACCGAGAUCCAUUUAAAUGAUUAACUUCUCCCAACAAAUGUUUUUUCUAGACGCAUCGAUCAGGGAUCGAACCCUGAACUAUAUGGUCUUACGGUCCAUCAUAUGUAAGACCAUAUAAGAACUAAUUUUAAGAUUAACAAAUCAAAGACUAACAAAUAUUAAUGAAACUAGAUCAAAAUAACAAGGAUCAUUAAUAACUUUUCUUAUAUUUCGGAGACUAAAACAUAACAAAACUUUUAAAUAACUUCAAAAUAAAAACGAUAUAUUUAUAGGAACUAAAAAUAUAUUUAAUUAUGACCAAAAUACCCUUUCAAUGGUAGACUCGGUAUUUCGAACCAUCCCAACAAGUGGAUUGCCAUUGGUGUUGGCAAAGGCAUGGUUAAAGGCAGGCUCAGAUGGCCUAGAUUCACCAUAAGGGAUGGAAGUAGUUGUAUUUGAAGAUGGCACACUUUGUGGUGAUGAUGAUGAUGAUGAUGCUUUGGAAUCUGGAGAAGAAGAGCUAAAGGAUGCAUUUGUAUAAGAAACUCGACGAGGAAGAUGAGACGAACGGUUGAUGUGACGAGAAAGAGAUGGUGUAGAGGGAGUGAUGAAACUGUAACAAGAGAGAGCCAUUGAAGUUGUGUUACUUAGCUUAUUUUUACUAUAAGAUUGAUCAUUUCAAUAUGAUAUAGUGUCCACACAUGUGGCUAAUGUGGACAAAUCAUUUUCGUCUCAUAGGGUGGUGGCAUGAAAAUAUCUAUGUUAUUUACUUGCUUUUGGUUUCAUAGAUAGUUUUAUUUUUUCAAACUUGUUCAAAUACAUGACUUUUGCUACAAUAUUCAAUGUAUCUUUUGAUUAAUGAUAUUGCUAAUUUUAGGACAUUUAAUUAACCAUUUUUUGAUAAUAAAACCUUUUAUGAAGAAAUCUUUCCACCUUAAAAAAAAUUAAUUCAAAAUUAUCUUCAUCUAAAUAGAAAGAAAUUGUAAGGAAGAGUCAUAUUACAAACAUCAGUAUUGAAGAAGUUCUUGAUAUUAAAACUACAAUUGAAGAAAUUGAAGAAGUAAUGUAAACUAGUAGCACCUAAACCAGUUGUCAACAUUAAAGAACAAAUUGAAAACUAUUUCAUUGGUGUGUUUCAAACUCUUCAAAAUAUAAUUGGUCAUAUAAGAGAGAAACUCUGCUGCAAGAGUUUUCAACUCUACAAAGCCGACCUGUAAGAUGAGAUUUCUAAGCAGAUUAAGUUGAUAUUGUGUUUGUUUAACAAAUUGAUUGUUAUAUUGUAAAAAUGAGAAGGGAAAAGUGAGUGUUGGUCCUUAUUUUGAAAAAGAUUGAAUGAGCUUUAGUACCACGGCCAAUCAAAGAGAUUUUUGGCUAAUUGCGGAUUUACAAUAGAAUUUACCUAUAGCCUACUAACUGCGAAAUUUCGGACUAUCAAGUCACAGUCGGUAAUGAGCAGAAGGUUUUACCAUAUGUGCCAACCGCAGUUGGCUAAAAACUUCCAUUUAUUCUAAACUAUGUACAAUGAACAAAAGUUUUUCAAGAGUAAGUGAACAGAAGUGUUCACCUAAAUUAUGAUUUGAGAAUAUUACAAUGCUUAGUACAAUCUAAUCUUGCUUAUGCAGAUUAUGAAGGAUAUACAAAGAUGCAGAUGAUAAGAAAAUACAAACUGAAUAACUAAGUAAAUCUAAUCCUGUGGCAAUGACAACCAUUUUGCUUUUCUCAAACAUUUUUACAAGAAGAAUCAUUACAAUAACAUGUCCUACUUUUGUCUUCAAUUCAUCAAGUGAGCUUAUUUUCAUCCACUUUGGCCUCUCCUGAAAAGGAGACAACAUAUACAUGUUAGUUAAGAUGAUUCAACAGUUCUAUCAAUACAUGAUUGUCGGGUUUAUGAUCACCUUCAAAGCAAACAUUCCAAAGAGAGAGGAUCCUUUGAGGGCACGGUCGACAGAAGGUGACACAUCAGGAGGUGUGUUGCUGAUGAACAGUCCAUAUAAGCCCAUACCAAAAAUCAACAUAACAGUACCCGCAAGAUAAACAUCUGCCGAAGCAAGAUUCAUUGAUUUUAUUAGCAUAAUAGACAGGUUAAAUUGAAGUAGUAAACUUAAUCUUAUCACCAUGUUAUCCAAAGGGUAACAUUGGCAAAAAGUCCUAAUAAUUUGAGACAGAAAAUGAGACACAUAGACACUUAGUAUGAGAUAGAGCGAGUAAUAAUUAAUUUUCUCAUUUUUCCUUUGAUUUUUGUUUAAUAUUUUCUUGUUCCAAGUAGUUAGAGUAUCUUAUCUAUGAAAAAUGAUAAAUUAC